rnacentral:rRNA from 1 species
GACUGGAUUCGCUAGUAAUCGCGCAUCAGCCACGGCGCGGUGAAUACGUUCCCGGGCCUUGUACACACCGCCCGUCAAGCCAUGGAAGCCGGGAGUGCCUGAAGUGCGUGAGCGCAAGCAGCGCCCUAAGGUAAAACCGGUGACUGGGGCGUAAGUCGUAACAAGGUACC